UUCCCACAUGCACCCUGACUGGGAAUCAAACCCACAGCCUGGGUAUGUGCCCUAACCAGGAACUGAAUCUGCCACUUUUUGGUGCAAAAGAAAACGUUAACCAA